UACGUAGGGUGCGAGCGUUGUCCGGAAUUAUUGGGCGUAAAGAGCUCGUAGGCGGUCUGUCGCGUCUGCUGUGAAAUCCCGAGGCUCAACCUCGGGCUUGCAGUGGGUACGGGCAGGCUAGAGUGCGGUAGGGGAGAAUGGAACUCCUGGUGUAGCGGUGAAAUGCGCAGAUAUCAGGAGGAACACCGGUGGCGAAGGCGGGUCUCUGGGCCGAUACUGACGCUGAGGAGCGAAAGCGUGGGGAGCGAACAGG
rnacentral:rRNA from 1 species